UGAGUAAUGUAUCGGAACGUGCCCAGUAGCGGGGGAUAACUACGCGAAAGCGUAGCUAAUACCGCAUACGCCCUUCGGGGGAAAGCAGGGGAUCGUAAGACCUUGCACUAUUGGAGCGGCCGAUAUCGGAUUAGCUAGUUGGUGAGGUAAUGGCUCACCAAGGCCGCGAUCCGUAGCUGGUUUGAGAGGACGACCAGCCACACUGGGACUGAGACACGGCCCAGACUCCUACGGGAGGCAGCAGUGGGGAAUUUUGGACAAUGGGGGAAACCCUGAUCCAGCCAUCCCGCGUGUGCGAUGAAGGCCUUCGGGUUGUAAAGCACUUUUGGCAGGAAAGAAACGGCGCGUGCUAAUACCAUGCGCAACUGACGGUACCUGCAGAAUAAGCACCGGCUAACUACGUGCCAGCAGCCGC
rnacentral:rRNA from 1 species